AUUGCGUGUUAUGAUUAUGAACUUAAUUAAAAAAGUCUAAAAUGGAAGAUAUUAACUGCUCAAAUGAGGUUUUGAUGAGGCUAUUUAUUUUCCAAUGUGAUCAAAAAAGUUAAACUACAAAUUUUAAAAUAGUGUCUCAGAUCCACUACAGGUUUAAUAUGGAGUGCCUCAGGAAACUGUCCUGGUGUGGAAUUGUUCGCUGAUGAUACAAUGGUAUAUUUGGCUGGAAAGGAUAUCAAUGUAAUGCAGAAAAUUAUGAAUAAUGACUUGGGGAAUAUAUUUAAAUGGCUUUGUAGAAAUAAUUUAUGUAUAAAUACAUCAAAACCUACA